rnacentral:lncRNA from 1 species
ACCUAGAAACAAUGUCAAGUAAAUGUUUAACAAUACAACAAAAGUAAAAUAAUUUCUAGUGGAAUACACAAUUUUUACAGUGGUUUGCUAAAGGAUCGGCAUUUACAAUCAAGGUGAAAAUAGUUACAUUCCGUGUCGACUAAUUUGGACAUUAAAGUCCUGUCGUAAAUCCCAUCAUUAUUAUGGUCGACAAUUUUAAAAUCUAAAUCUUCGCACCCUUUACAAGUGGGAUCCUUCAUAUUACUUCGAAGAACCUGAUGGUGGUGUAUGCAAAACGCCCUUAGGAACGUCGGGAGUAUGCAUAAGUAUUUUUGAAUGCAGUCCUAUCAUAGCCCUUCUGAAAGCGCCAAGCAGAA